rnacentral:rRNA from 1 species
CGACUCUCGGCAACAGAUAUCUCGGCUCUCGCAUCGAUGAAGAACGUAGCGAAAUGUGAUACUUGGNGUGAAUUGUAGAAUCCCGUGAACCAUCGAGUCUUUGAACGCAAGUUGCGCUCGAAGCCGUUAGGCUGAGGGCACGUCUGCCUGGGUGUCACG